rnacentral:rRNA from 1 species
AUGGCUACAACAGGUAAGUUGAGGCGUGUGUUUGAUGGUGACGGGCUGCUUGAUGAGGAGGAGUUCCUGAGGCUGGUGCGUGAGACGGAGUCCGGCCAGGAGGAAGAGGGAGACAGGUGCAAGGAGGCGUUCGGGAUGUACAAGAUGGAAGGGAGGGGCUGCAUCACCCCACACAGCCUCGAGCUGAUGAUGAGCAGGCUGGGGCUGCACCUGAACGUUGACGAGUGCCAGGCCAUGAUCCGCCGGUUCGACCUCAACGGCGACGGGGUGCUCACCAUUGACGAGUUCAAAACCAUGAUGAUGAUGAUGGCAUGA